GGGCAGCCAGCUCCGGCCGCCUGGCGGCCGCGGGAUUCGAUUGGCGGGGCGGGGCCUACGGGAGGCAGCAGCAGGGAAUAUUGCACAAUGGGCGAAAGCCUGAUGCAGCGACGCCGCGUGAGGGAUGAAGGCUCUCGAGUUGUAAACCUCUUUCAGUAGGGACGAAGCGAAAGUGACGGUACCUACAGAAGAAGCCCCAGCCAACUACGUG
rnacentral:rRNA from 1 species